rnacentral:rRNA from 1 species
UUCAACGUGAGAGUUUGAUCCUGGCUCAGAGCGAACGCUGGCGGCAGGCUUAACACAUGCAAGUCGAGCGGGCCCUUCGGGGUCAGCGGCGGACGGGUGAGUAACGCGUGGGAACGUGCCUUCUGGUUCGGAAUAACCCUGGGAAACUAGGGCUAAUACCGGAUACGCCCUUAUGGGGAAAGGUUUACUGCCGGAAGAUCGGCCCGCGUCUGAUUAGCUAGUUGGUGGGGUAACGGCCUACCAAGGCGACGAUCAGUAGCUGGUCUGAGAGGAUGAUCAGCCACACUGGGACUGAGACAC